rnacentral:rRNA from 1 species
UGGGGAAUAUUGGGCAAUGGGCGCAAGCCUGACCCAGCAACGCCGUGCGAGGGAAGAAGGUCUUCGGAUUGUAAACCUCUGUCCUUGGGGACGAAAAAAAUGACGGUACCCAAGGAGGAAGCUCCGGCUAACUACGAGCCAGCAGCCGCGGUAAUACGUAGGGGGCAAGCGUUGUCCGGAAUUACUGGGCGUAAAGGGUGCGUAGGCGGUUAUUUAAGUCAGAUGUGAAAUCCCCGGGCUUAACUCGGGUGGUGCAUUUGAAACUGGGUAACUAGAGUGCAGGAGAGGGAAGCGGAAUUCCUAGUGUAGCGGUGAAAUGCGUAGAUAUCAGAUAGAACACCAAUGGCGAAGGCAGCCAACUGGUCCGUUACUGACGCUAAAGCACGAAAGUGUGGGGAGCGAACA